rnacentral:rRNA from 1 species
CCUACGGGAGGCAGCAGUGGGGAAUAUUGCGCAAUGGGCGAAAGCCUGACGCAGCGACGCCGCGUGAGGGAUGAAGGUCUUCGGAUCGUAAACCUCUGUCAGCAGGGAAGAACGGUCACUGUGCUAAUCAGCAGUGAAUUGACGGUACCUGCAAAGGAAGCACCGGCUAACUCCGUGCCAGCAGCCGCGGUAAUACGGAGGGUGCGAGCGUUAAUCGGAAUGACUGGGCGUAAAGCGCUCGUAGGCGGUAUGUCAAGGCAAGGGGGAAAUCCCCGCGCUCAACGUGGGAACUGCCUUUGAAACUGACACACUAGAGUGUGUGACAGGAUAUUGACAUUCCAGGUGUCGGCG